rnacentral:rRNA from 1 species
UGGGGAAUCUUGCACAAUGGAGGAAACUCUGAUGCAGCGACGCCGCGUGAGCGAUGAAGCCUCGGGUGUGAAGCAGUCUUUCGGCAGGAACGAUAAUGACGGUACCUGAAGAAGAAGCUGCGGCUAACUACGUGCCAGCAGCCGCGGUAAUACGUAGGCAGCAAGCGUUGUUCGGAAUUACUGGGUGUAAAGAGUGUGUAGGCGGUGCUCUAAGUUCGGUGUGAAAUCUCCCGGCUCAACUGGGAGGGUGCGCCGAAAACUGGAAUGCUUGAACAUGGGAGAGGAAAGCGGAAUUCCUGGUGUAGCGGUGAAAUGCGUAGAUAUCAGGAGGAACACCUGCGGUUGUUAGACGGCUUUCUGGACCAUUGUUGACGCUGAGACACGAAAGCGUGGGUAGCAAACA